GACGAAAGAUGGAGGCGUGCUUAACACAUGCAAGUCGAACGGAAAGGCCCUGCUUUUGUGGGGUGCUCGAGUGGCGAACGGGUGAGUAACACGUGAGUAACCUGCCCUUGACUUUGGGAUAACUUCAGGAAACUGGGGCUAAUACCGGAUAGGAGCUCCUGCUGCAUGGUGGGGGUUGGAAAGUUUCGGCGGUUGGGGAUGGACUCGCGGCUUAUCAGCUUGUUGGUGGGGUAGUGGCUUACCAAGGCUUUGACGGGUAGCCGGCCUGAGAGGGUGACCGGCCACAUUGGGACUGAGAUACGGCCCAGACUCCUACGGGAGGCAGCAGUGGGGAAUAUUGCACAAUGGGCGGAAGCCUGAUGCAGCAACGCCGCGUGCGGGAUGACGGCCUUCGGGCUGUAAACCGCUUUCGCCUGUGACGAAGCGUGAGUGACGGUAAUGGGUAAAGAAGCACCGGCUAACUACGUG
rnacentral:rRNA from 1 species